rnacentral:lncRNA from 1 species
GCCCUGUGUGGUGUCAUGAUGUCUUUCAAGAAAUUAUGGUUCAGACUUUUCAAAGACGUAGCCAAAGUUCAUGCUAACUUGUCUUUUACUUUCCGCGCAUGCUUUGAAUUUGACCUCUUCAAACUUUUAAUAAGGUUUUCAGCCAAAGAAUAAGGUGCCUUUGGUUUUUCAAGAUUCCAAAACUGACUGAUGACCAACUUGGAGUCACUAAUGACUUUGAGAGUAAUGUUAAAUUAGUUGUUGGGUCAGGUGAAGCCCAUGAUGGACAUUUUGUACUUAGCCAAAUUGUUGGUUGCUGGAAAAACCAAUUGACUUGCUUUGAGUACACGUACAAAACUUCCACUCAAGCUGACAUAUGUAUAGCUAUGGAAGGAUCUAUACAUGC